GGCCGCUUAGCUCAGCCUGGUAGAGCAUCGCAUUGAAAAUGCGGGUGUCCCCGGUUCAAAUCCGGGAGCUGCCA
rnacentral:tRNA from 2 species